rnacentral:rRNA from 1 species
UACGGGGGGAGCAAGCGUUGUUCGGAUUUACUGGGCGUAAAGGGCGCGUAGGCGGCCACCGCAAGUCGACUGUGAAAUCCCUCGGCUUAACCGAGGAACUGCCUUCCAGACUGCUUGGCUUGAGACCAGGAGAGGUGAGUGGAAUUCCCAGUGUAGCGGUGAAAUGCGUAGAUAUUGGGAGGAACACCAGUGGCGAAGGCGGCUCACUGGACUGGUACUGACGCUGAGGCGCGAAAGCGUGGGGAGCAAACGGG